GGGGAUGUGGCUCAGUGGUGCAGUGCUUGCCUAACACACAGGAGCGCAUGGGUUCCAUCCCCAUUAACUUCC
rnacentral:tRNA from 1 species